CUCCAGAUUGAACAUGGCGGGAUGCUUUAUGCAAGUCGAACGGCAGCACGGACUUCGGUCUGGUGGCGGUGGCGACGGGUGAGUAAUGUCGGAACGUGCCUAUUGGCGGGGGAUAACCUGCGCGAAAACAUAAGCUAACACCGCAUACGCCUCGAGGGGGAAAGCGGGGGACCUUCAGGGCCUCACCACUGUUAAACAGCGAUAUCGGAUUGGCAUUAGUGGGGUAACGACUCGCCGGCGACGAUCGUAACUGGUUUAGAGGACGACCAGCCACACUGUGGACUGAGACACGGCCCAGACUCCUACAGGAAGCGGCAGUGGGGAAUUUUUGGACAAUGGAAGCCCUGAUCCAGCCAUCCGCGUGUGCGAUGAAGGCCUUCGGGUUGUAAAGCACUUUUGGCGGAAAACAACUGGAUAUGCCCCGUGCAGCGGCGGUACCUGCAGAAUAAGCACUGGCUAACUACCAUUGCCAGCAGCCGCGGUAAUACGUAGGUGCAAGCGUUAAUCAGUUACAGGGCGUAAAGCGUGCGGCGGUUGGAAAGAUGAAAUCCCAGGCUUCAGCUUUGGAACUGCAUUUUUUAACUACCGAGCUGAAAUUGUCAGAGGAGGUGGAAUUCCGCGUGUAGCAGUGAAAUGCGUAGAUAUGCGGAGGAAUAUGACCGGCAGCUCUGCGAGAUAACGUACUCUUGCAGCGAUAAGGAGCAAACGGAAUACCCUGGUAGUCACGCCCUAAACGAUGUCAACUAGCUGUUGGGGCCUUCCGGGCCUUGGUAAAAACAUCGCGUGAAGUUGACCAUACGGAGGCUGCGGUCGCAAAGAUUAAAACUCAAGGAGUCAGCGGGACCGCACAAACGGUGGAUGAUGUGGAUUAAUUCGAUGCAACGCGAAACCUUUACUGCCGAAGCAACCAAUACAGAAUCCCGAAGAGAUUUGGGAGUGCUCGCAAGAGAACUGGAGACUACAGGUGCGCGACAUCGUCAGCUCGUGUCGUGAGAUGUUGGGUUAAGUCCCGCAACGAGCGCAACCCUUGUCAUUAGUUGCUACGAAAGGGCACUCAGACUGCCGGUGACAAACGGAGGAAGGUUGGGGAUGACGUCAAGUCCUCAUGGCCCUUAUGGGUAGGGCUUCGUCCAUCACAAUGGUCGGGACAGAGGGUCGCCAACCCGCGAGGGGGAGCCAAUCCCAAAACCCGAUCGUAGUCCGGAUCGCAGUCUCGCAACUCGACUGCGUGAAGUCGGAAUCGCUAAAGUAAUCGCGGAUCCAGCAUGUCGCGGUGAACCGCGUUCGGGUCUUGUACACACCGCCCGUCACACCAUGGGAGUGGAACUUGCAGAAGUAGUUAGUCUAACCGUAAGGAGGGCGAUUACCACGGUAGGAUUCAUGACUGGGGUGAAGUCAACAAAGAUGG
rnacentral:rRNA from 1 species